rnacentral:rRNA from 1 species
UAACACAUGCAAGUCGAGCGGUAACAGGUCUAGCUUGCUAGACGCUGACGAGCGGCGGACGGGUGAGUAAUGCAUAGGAAUCUGCCCGAUAGUGGGGGAUAACCUGGGGAAACCCAGGCUAAUACCGCAUACGUCCUACGGGAGAAAGGGGGCUCCGGCUCCCGCUAUCGGAUGAGCCUAUGUCGGAUUAGCUAGUUGGUGGGGUAAUGGCCCACCAAGGCGACGAUCCGUAGCUGGUCUGAGAGGAUGAUCAGCCACAUCGGGACUGAGACACGGCCCGAACUCCUACGGGAGGCAGCAGUGGGGAAUAUUGGACAAUGGGGGCAACCCUGAUCCAGCCAUGCCGCGUGUGUGAAGAAGGCCUUAGGGUUGUAAAGCACUUUCAGCGAGGAAGAACGCCUGGCGGUUAAUACCCGCCAGGAAAGACAUCACUCGCAGAAGAAGCACCGGCUAACUCCGUGCCAGCAGCCGCGGUAAUACGGAGGGUGCAAGCGUUAAUCGGAAUUACUGGGCGUAAAGCGCGCGUAGGUGGCUUGAUAAGCCGGUUGUGAAAGCCCCGGGCUCAACCUGGGAACGGCAUCCGGAACUGUCAAGCUAGAGUACAGGAGAGGAAGGUAGAAUUCCCGGUGUAGCGGUGAAAUGCGUAGAGAUCGGGAGGAAUACCAGUGGCGAAGGCGGCCUUCUGGACUGAUACUGACACUGAGGUGCGAAAGCGUGGGUAGCAAACAGGAUUAGAUACCCUGGUAGUCCACGCCGUAAACGAUGUCGACCAGCCGUUGGGUGCCUAGCGCACUUUGUGGCGAAGUUAACGCGAUAAGUCGACCGCCUGGGGAGUACGGCCGCAAGGUUAAAACUCA